rnacentral:rRNA from 1 species
GUGUGGAUAGCGGAGAAAUUCCAAUCGAACCCGGAGAUAGCUGGUUCUCCUCGAAAUAGCUUUAGGGCUAGCCUCAUGAGAGUCUUAUGGAGGUAGAGCACUGAAUUGCCUAGGGGGCGUCAAAGCUUACCAAAGCAUAUCAAACUCCGAAUGCCAUCAAGAUGAUUCAUGGGAGUCAGACCAUACGAGAUAAGUUGGAUGGUCAAAAGGGAAAGAGCCCAGACCUACAGCUAAGGUCCCAAAGUGCGUGUUAAGUGGAAAAGGAUGUGGGGAUUCUAAGACAACUAGGACGUUGGCUUAGAAGCAGCCAUUCAUUGAAAGAGUGCGUAAUAGCUCACUAGUCGAGAGUCCCUGCGCCGAAAAUGUCCGGGGCUGAAACACGACACCGAAGCUUAGGAAUGUGUAAACAUUGGUAGAGGAGCAUUGCUGGCGGGAUGAAGCCAUACCGUAAGGAGUGGUGGACUGCUAGGAAGAGAGAAUGCCGGAAUGAGUAGCGAGAUGAAGGUGAGAAUCCUUCAGGCCGAAUAUCUAAGGUUUCCAGAGUAAAGCUGAUCUGCUCUGGGUAAGUCGGGACCUAAGGCGAGGUCGAAAGACGUAGUCGAUGGAUAACAGGUUGAAAUUCCUGUACCGCAUAUAAACAGAACUGUGGGGACACAGACAGGGAAUGGAAUCCGGGAGUGGAGAUCCCGGUGCAAGCGAGGUAGGAGUGCUGCUGGCAAAUCCGCAGCACGAUCUGAAGACGUGACGCGUACCGAACAUAAGUAGGGAAGUCCAGGCCCCUGGCUGUCAAGAAAAGCCGCUAUUGUUUUAUAUGUGCCCGUACCGCAAACCGACACAGGUGGAUGAGGAGAGAAUCCUAAGGCCGACGGGAGAAGUAUUGUUAAGGAACUCGGCAAAAUGACUCCGUAACUUCGGGAGAAGGAGUGCCAUGAGAGUGGCCGCAGAGAAAUGGCCCAAGCAACUGUUUAGCAAAAACACAGGUCUAUGCAAAACCGCAAGGUGAAGUAUAUGGGCUGACGCCUGCCCGGUGCUGGAAGGUUAAGGGGAGAGGUUAGCGCAAGCGAAGCUUUGAACUUAAGCCCCAGUAAACGGCGGCCGUAACUAUAACGGUCCUAAGGUAGCGAAAUUCCUUGUCGGGUAAGUU